CCUACGGGUGGCAGCAGUGGGGAAUAUUGCACAAUGGGCGCAAGCCGGAUGCAGCCAUGCCGCGUGUGGGAAGAAGGCCUUCGGGUUGUAAAGCACUUUCAGCGGGGAGGAAGGCGGUGAGGUUAAUAACCUCAUCGAUUGACGUUACCCGCAGAAGAAGCACCGGCUAACUCCGUGCCAGCAGCCGCGGUAAUACAGAGGGUGCAAGCGUUAAUCGGAAUUACUGGGCGUAAAGCGCACGCAGGCGGUCUGUCAAGUCGGAUGUGAAAUCCCCGGGCUCAACCUGGGAACUGCAUUCGAAACUGGCAGGCUAGAGUCUUGUAGAGGGGGGUAGAAUUCCAGGUGUAGCGGUGAAAUGCGUAGAGAUCUGGAGGAAUACCGGUGGCGAAGGCGGCCCCCUGGACAAAGACUGACGCUCAGGUGCGAAAGCGUGGGGAGCAAACAGGAUUAGAUACCCUUGUAGUC
rnacentral:rRNA from 1 species